rnacentral:rRNA from 1 species
UACGUAGGGUGCAAGCGUUGUCCGGAUUUACUGGGCGUAAAGGGCGCGUAGGCGGUCAGCACAAGUCAGUUGUGAAAUCUCCGGGCUUAACUCGGAAAGGUCAACUGAUACUGUGCGACUAGAGUGCAGAAGGGGCAACUGGAAUUCUCGGUGUAGCGGUGAAAUGCGUAGAUAUCGUGAGGAACACCAGAGGCGAAGGCGGCUACCUGGACAAUUGCUGACGCUCAGGCACGAAAGCGUGGGGAGCAAACAGG